rnacentral:rRNA from 1 species
UACGAAGGGGGCUAGCGUUGCUCGGAAUCACUGGGCGUAAAGCGCACGUAGGCGGAUCUUUAAGUCAGGGGUGAAAUCCCAAGGCUCAACCUUGGAACUGCCUUUGAUACUGGGGAUCUCGAGUCCGGAAGAGGUGAGUGGAACUGCGAGUGUAGAGGUGAAAUUCGUAGAUAUUCGCAAGAACACCUAUGGCGAAGGCAGCUCUCUGGGACGGUACUGACGCUGAGACGCGAAAGCGUGGGGAGCGAACAGG